ACCUUACUGGUGUAUCGGUUAACAUGGCGGAUUCUCAGUCUCAAAACUUCCGCAGCGCAGGGUUCAACUCCCUGGUAGGGUA